rnacentral:lncRNA from 1 species
UUUUUGGUUAUUGUCUCCCUCCGGUGCGUUUAAUCCGUGUGUUAAGUGCUAUGUUUACAGAGCAGCCCGGUGACAAGGAAGAAGAAGAGCGCUGCCAGCCCUGCAAGCACGCCAGCGCUGCAAGUCCAGCACUACGAAGAAUCACCCAUCCGUCAUCAUGCUUCGAGCUUAAGAUUGGAAUUCUAUGGCAGAUUAUUAUGAUAUUUGUGAGUACAUGAGCCUUUUGGAGGAAGCAAUUCCCAAGUAUGGAGUUACGCAGAUC